rnacentral:rRNA from 1 species
CCCGCGGCGCAUUAGCUAGUUGGUGAGGUAACGGCUCACCAAGGCAACGAUGCGUAGCCGACCUGAGAGGGUGAUCGGCCACACUGGGACUGAGACACGGCCCAGACUCCUACGGGAGGCAGCAGUAGGGAAUCUUCCGCAAUGGACGAAAGUCUGACGGAGCAACGCCGCGUGAGUGAUGAAGGUUUUCGGAUCGUAAAGCUCUGUUGUUAGGGAAGAACAAGUGCCGUUCAAAUAGGGCGGCACCUUGACGGUACCUAACCAGAAAGCCACGGCUAACUACGUGCCAGCAGCCGCGGUAAUACGUAGGUGGCAAGCGUUGUCCGGAAUUAUUGGGCGUAAAGGGCUCGCAGGCGGUUUCUUAAGUCUGAUGUGAAAGCCCCCGGCUCAACCGGGGAGGGUCAUUGGAAACUGGGGAACUUGAGUGCAGAAGAGGAGAGUGGAAUUCCACGUGUAGCGGUGAAAUGCGUAGAGAUGUGGAGGAACACCAGUGGCGAAGGCGACUCUCUGGUCUGUAACUGACGCUGAGGAGCGAAAGCGUGGGGAGCGAACAGGAUUAGAUACCCUGGUAGUCCACGCCGUAAACGAUGAGUGCUAAGUGUUAGGGGGUUUCCGCCCCUUAGUGCUGCAGCUAACGCAUUAAGCACUCCGCCUGGGGAGUACGGUCGCAAGACUGAAACUCAAAGGAAUUGACGGGGGCCCGCACAAGCGGUGGAGCAUGUGGUUUAAUUCGAAGCAACGCGAAGAACCUUACCAGGUCUUGACAUCCUCUGACAAUCCUAGAGAUAGGACGUCCCCUUCGGGGGCAGAGUGACAGGUGGUGCAUGGUUGUCGUCAGCUCGUGUCGUGAGAUGUUGGGUUAAGUCCCGCAACGAGCGCAACCCUUGAUCUUAGUUGCCAGCAUUCAGUUGGGCACUCUAAGGUGACUGCCGGUGACAAACCGGAGGAAGGUGGGGAUGACGUCAAAUCAUCAUGCCCCUUAUGACCUGGGCUACACACGUGCUACAAUGGACAGAACAAAGGGCAGCGAAACCGCGAGGUUAAGCCAAUCC